rnacentral:sRNA from 1 species
GUCUUGAUUGGCUUUAGUUUUACUCCCAUGCUUUCGGGUGACAGGAGAUCGGGUGAUAUACAGAAUGGGCUGAGGGGGCUGCGCGGGCUACAGUCCAACUGGCUUGGUCUGUACAGGCCAUAACCCAUGAAGAAGUACUCCAUGGGUAUAAGCAUCGCGUGUGGUUGCUCCUCCGUAAUUAAGCACACUAGUGAAUUUACCUCAACUAGAGCACAGUAUCUCCUGUCCAGCUUUGAUGUCAUGUGAACAGCCUCAGUAUGGAACUGAGAGUACUCGCCGACAAAAAUAAGGGUCCUACACUGAAGCUGCUUCAGGUCUUCUGUCAAGUCAUAUCUCCUGUAAAUCUAAACAAUCGAGGAAGGAAAAAAAUGUGAUACUUACACUUCUACAAGCUUGCACUAUGUCAGAUUCAGGUAAAUCAGAGCACCCCCGCACUUCCUAAGAAUAGAAUUCGAGGAUACCAUAAGAAAAGGCUCAAGCAUGCAAAGGUAAUGUCAUUUACCAACAGCUACCUUAUUAUAAAACCACUCAGUCCACGUGGGAGGUUUACAUAGGGGAGAAACAAGAAUAAGACCUAGUACACGAUCCCUAUACUUCGCCUGCCAUAAAAAAUACAUAGUUCAAUAAUAAAUUUUAGGCAAUCUAAUAGAAUAUUACCCAAAGAAAUCGAGAACAUCUGCAACCUGAUCAGCCAAAUCAUCAACAGAUGGUAUAGGAGCAUUUGGCGAAAUUGGAGCUGCCCCCAACUCAUGUCCUGGGGGGCUGAUAUGGUAAAUGCAAAAAUUGUGAAGCAACAAUGAAGCAGCUUCAGGGCAGAAGAGCAAUCCUUGGAAGCAAGACAUAUCUGUAAAUAAAUCAAUAUCUGGAUAAGUAACAAGAGCCGGCUUGUCAUGGUCACCAUACACCGCAACAGAUACGGGUCCAUGAUUGAUGGUCCCCGGACCUUGCCGCCGAAGGAGAUGCGCUCCACGUCGAUCGACACGACGGAGCCGCCGGAGUCCCCCAUCCGCCGCCGCCCACCUCGACGCCGGACGGGCCGCCUCCUCUCUCUCUCUCUCUCUCUCUUCUUCUUCUUCUUCUUCUUGUCUCUCUCUC